ensembl:rRNA 5S_rRNA 5S ribosomal RNA
GUCUACAGCCACACCACUCUGACCACACCUGAUCUCGUCUGAUCUCAGAAGCUAAGCAGGGUCAGGCCUGGUUAGUACUUGGAUGGGAGACCAAUUUUAAAUAUGGUAUAACUAUGGUAU